GUCUACAGCCAUACCACCCUGAAUGUGCCUGAUCUCAUCUGAUCUGAGAAGCUAAGCAGGGUCGGGCCUGCUUAGUACUAGGAUGGGAGACCACCUAGGAAUACUGGGUGCUGUAGGCU
rnacentral:rRNA from 13 species